rnacentral:rRNA from 1 species
UGAGGAAUAUUGGUCAAUGGGCGCAAGCCUGAACCAGCCAUGCCGCGUGCAGGAAGACGGUCCUAUGGAUUGUAAACUGCUUUUAUACAGGAAGAAACCCUCCCACGUGUGGGAGAUUGACGGUACUGUAGGAAUAAGGAUCGGCUAACUCCGUGCCAGCAGCCGCGGUAAUACGGAGGAUCCAAGCGUUAUCCGGAAUCAUUGGGUUUAAAGGGUCCGUAGGCGGUCUUAUAAGUCAGUGGUGAAAGCCCAUCGCUCAACGAUGGAACUGCCAUUGAUACUGUAAGACUUGAAUGCUUAGGAAGUAACUAGAAUAUGUAGUGUAGCGGUGAAAUGCUUAGAUAUUACAUGGAAUACCAAUUGCGAAGGCAGGUUACUACUAAGUGAUUGACGCUGAUGGACGAAAGCGUGGGGAGCGAACA